rnacentral:misc_RNA from 1 species
AUAGAUUCCGGAGGACUGACACAGUUCCAUGAAUUCUGGCAUAAAAAUGUUCACAUUCCUCCGCCGGGCUACGCAAGCGAUAAGUCCACAAAAUCAUUGUUUGGAUCGUCUAGGAAUUAAAAGAGAUAUCACGUACAAAACCCCAGCUAUGAAUAUUACUUGGAGUUCAUAGAAAAACAGUGCAUUUUGACGAAUUUCGCCCUGAUUUAGAUAAACAGAAUUUCACGAAAGGUCACGUCCAUCGUCGUCAGCAAAAAAAACCUCUCUAAACUGGUCUGUCCAUUUCAUAUAAACUUAUAUCAGCAUUUCUUUAUGUUAUAAAGGCCUCAUGAGUCAAUUUUUUGUGGGUACCGAUUGGAAAUGUUUAAGUGUCAGACUAAAUACUUUGUCUGUAUUGUACAUGAAUUGAAAAUAAACCUACGCAUGUAUACUAGUGUAUGAAUUCGUGAGUUUUGUAAAGCUAUCUGUGAUAUUAAAUUAAUGUUGUACAUGUAUCUCAGUAUAUCUUGUAUUUACCAAAAUUUACAAAAAAGGAAGGUGCAACAAAACAGCUUUGACAUGAAAGUUAAAAAACCCAAUAAAAUAGUCAAAU